GACGAACGCUGGCGGCGUGCUUAACACAUGCAAGUCGAGCGGUAAGGCUCCUUCGGGAGUACACGAGCGGCGAACGGGUGAGUAACACGUGAGCAACCUGCCCCUCUCAUCGGAAUAAGCGUUGGAAACGACGUCUAAUGCCGAAUAUGACAACGGAUCGCAUGAUCUGUUGUGGAAAGCUCCGGCGGAGAAGGAUGGGCUCGCGGCCUAUCAGCUUGUUGGUGGGGUAACGGCCCACCAAGGCGACGACGGGUAGCCGGCCUGAGAGGGUGACCGGCCACACUGGGACUGAGAGACGGCCCAGACGCCUACGGGAGGAAGCAGUGGGGAAUAUUGGACAAUGGGCGCAAGCCUGAUCCAGCAACGCCGCGUGAGGGAUGACGGCCUUCGGGUUGUAAACCUCUUUCAGCAGGGACGAAGCGAAAGUGACGGUACCUGCAGAAGAAGGACCGGCCAACUACGUGCCAGCCGCCGCCGUAAAAC
rnacentral:rRNA from 1 species